AGUUGGGUGGUUUUCAGAGGGUUUUGGCGAUCAGAUAGAGAUUGAGAUUGAGUUUUUUCUUUUAAAAGAGAGCAGAGAUCACAGAAAAUGGUUUGCGUUUGAACCUUAAAAAUUUGUCAUUUUUGCUUUUCCGGGAAAACAUGGGAUAGGAAAUUGAGUGGGAAAGUGGUUUUUUUGUUACAUGAUGGAGGGAAAAUUCCUUAUUCUCUGAAUUGUCCGACAAUCCCACGAUCCUACAUUCUCCUCACAAUUUCUCUGAAUUCUGUUUCCUCACUUUAAAGAUUUGAGCUUUGGACGAAGUUCGUUGCCUAAAGGGUUUUUCAUUUUGGACUUUGUGAUCAUAAGUGAUUAGUGAAGGCCCUAGUCUAGUGAACAAACGUGCCCAGGAAUGCUAUCUCUUUGUGAUUGAUUAAUAUUGUGGUAUGAUUUCCCGAUAUGGUGUUGCAGAAGAGGUUAGACUAUGGAUUCAAUGGUUAUCAAGUACCUGCCAUGCCUCGAGCUACUAGAUCAGCUAGGAGGAGGGGUACAGUUAAAAAGAGAGUUGAAGAAAAUCAAAUGUGUGCAUUUGACCUGCUGGCAACUGUAGCUGGUAAUUUAUUGCUCGAGAAAGAGAGUUCUCCCACUUCAAGUAAUACAUUGAAUCAGAAAGACAAGUGCGUAAUUGUUGAUCAAGAUGGGCAUGAUGGAAAUGUGCCACUGAAGGUGGAACCUUGUGAUCAAGGAACUCGGGACAGGAAACCUUUUGUUUCUGAGCAUGAAUCACAAGCUCCUAAUGUAAACCACAGCUCGAAGGAGUCUUCAUUUCCUAGAAAUGAUGAUCAUUCGAGCUUUACUUCUAUAAUGACAACUUCUAAUUGCUCUGAGAGGUUAGUUGCUAUAAAUUCUGAUACUAGCAAAAUUAAGAAUGAAGUAGGAAGUUUCUGUAGCCAAAUAGAAGGCUUGUCUAUGUACAGGGAGUCUGGUGGCUGUAAAUUGGAAGGUGAAACUAAGACACUUGUAAAAGAUGAGUCAAAUAAUACUGGAAAAGUGCUAAUUGGCACUGCUGCUGAUAUGUGCAGUUCAGAGUAUCCAACCGUCUUUAAGGGGAAACCUCUUGUAUUGCCCAGUUCAGACUGUAGUGCGAAGGCACCUUUGUGCGGGGACCACAUCCCGCAGACAUCACUUCCCUCUACCAGGGAUGAUGUGAAAGUAGUUAGUAGAGAUGAUGACGAAAAAUCCUCAGGGUGUACUCACCCUAGCACCACAACCAGGUACUUCAAACGAGCACCACGGAUUGGAGACCGAAGGAUAAGAAAAAUAUUGGCUUCUAAAUAUUGGAAAGUUGGGUCAAAGUAUAAGGAUGAGACACUUUCAAGUCCUGAUGGCAAUAUUAAACCAAGUUACCGUAGUAGGAAAGACUGCUACAAACGCCAAAGGACUCAAAUGACUGUUCCUUUCAAAAAGAGGAAACUUUUUGAUCAUAGCUCGGUCUGGGCAUCUGAUGGAGGUACUAAUAGUGGAGGAUUUUUUAACUCAAUUGAGAAGAGCAUUGGUGAUGCCUCUGGUUCAUGUACAAAAAUGCAAGGAGGGACUGGAACUUCUUGCUCAGUUGCUGGUCAACGAACAUCAUUCCAACGCAGGGAUUCUCAUGUGAAGCUAAGGAUCAAGUCUUUCAGGGUGCCAGAGCUUUUUAUUGAGAUUCCUGAGACUGCAACUGUUGGUUCACUGAAGAGGACAGUUAUGGAUGCAGUGACAGCAAUACUCGGAGGUGGUUUACAUAUUGGUGUACUCCUUCAGGGAAAGAAAGUAAGAGAUGACAACAUAACACUACUGCAGUCUGGAAUUUCUCACGACAAGGAGCUGGAUGCUUUGGGAUUUACCCUGGAGCCUAACCCCCCACAAAGUCCCCCACCUCUAUGCUCUGGAGAUUCUCCACAUUUGCUUCCUGGUGAUGCACCUGAGAUCCUUGCAAGGUAUCCACUCAACCAGGAAAUAGUUGACCACGUUAAUGCGAAUGUCUUACCAGAGCCUCGUGUUGCUAAUUUAAGUAACUUUGUUGAAAGUGAUCAUGAUUCGACCCCCUCUCCAACUGAUACAUCAGCAGACAAAAGUACAACAGAUUCAAAAGCAUUGGUUCCCAUCCCUGAAAUGAAUGUAGAGGCUCUAUCUGUGGUUCCAGCACUACGGAAAUCCAAGCGAUCCGAUAUGGCACAGCGUCGAAUCCGUCGUCCAUUUUCUGUUACUGAAGUUGAAGCACUUGUUCAAGCGGUUGAAAAACUUGGAACUGGAAGGUGGCGUGAUGUUAAAUUGCGAGCUUUUGAUAAUGCGAAGCAUAGGACAUAUGUUGAUUUGAAGGACAAGUGGAAAACACUAGUACACACGGCAAGAAUAUCACCCCAACAAAGGAGAGGAGAGCCUGUCCCACAGGACCUGUUGGACAGGGUCCUAACUGCUCACGCACACUGGUCCCAGCAGCAAGCCAAGCAACAGCUUAAACAACAGCCUGAGACUUGCCUUCUCCUCUAAGAAAACUCUCCCACCCUAUAAUCAUCAACAAGAAGGAAACUUACUAGGAUCCAUGGGGGGAUUUAGAUGGCCAAGAAGAGGCCCCCCUUUCUUUUUCUUUUUUUAUAAUUAUUUCUUUGUGUAAUUUUGUUAAUGAUGUAAAAAUUAUGACAAGGGAAAAAGGGAUAGAGAAAGUGUGAAGAAGAUUAUGUAAUAUUUGGUUGCUCUGCGCCAUUGGGUCUUUUAUCCUUUGCAGGGAGAAGGCAAGCGCAUGUAAAUGGUUAGACACUUGACAGAAUAAGAGCAUUCGCUAACGGAAAAAUUAAUUUGACCCCAAAAGCUAAGCUGUUGAUUCUCUCUCUCUCUCGCUACUUUGGUAGAUCAAUUGGCUGUGGCAGAGGAGAAGAGGAAGACACAUUCAUUUGAGGCUUGAGCUAUUUAUAGCUUGAACCAUUAUAUAAUGUAUCAGCAAAUAUUGUUGCUGUAAGUUCUUGUACCUCAUUUUAUUUUAUGUAUUGAAAAACAUACGGCAAUUCUUACA